UUCCGAGUAGCUUAUCAUUCUACAAAUGGUUCCCCCUUUUAUUUCUAUUGCAGAAGAUUUUCGACCACAUACGGAUAUGGUUGGAGCAGAUUGGAGAUCAACGGAGCAGUAUUCCUGCAAAAUAAAUCCCAAUCAAAAUUGGCUCUGGCGAGGACCCUCCAACGAUCAAAUUCAAAAUCUAGCACAACAGAGAAUGUAUACCC
rnacentral:lncRNA from 1 species